GAGAGCGUAGUUUAACUGGAUAAAACCUCGGUCUACGAAACCGAUGACGUGGGGGUUCGAUUCCCUCCGCUCUCG
rnacentral:tRNA from 3 species